ensembl:lncRNA
CAGGGGGAGUUAGAGGUACCCAGUGUCACGGCUCCAGACCACCACAAGGGGGAGUUAGAGGUACCCAGUGUCACGGCUUCAUUGUUCCAGACCACCACCAGGGGGAGGUAGAGGUACCCAGUGUCACGGCUUCAUUGCUCCAGACCACCACAAGGGGGAGUUAGAGGUACCCAGUGUAACGGCUCCAGACCACCACCAGGGGGAGUUAGAGGUACCCAGUGUCACGGCUUCAUUGCUUCAGACCACCACCAGGGGAGUUAGAGGUACCCAGUGUCAUGGCUCCAGACCACCACCAGGGGGAGUUAGAGGUACCCAGUUUCACA